rnacentral:misc_RNA from 1 species
AUCUUUUUCUUCAUUGACAUUGAGUCUGCUGCAAGGUUUCCCUCUAAAAAUUUUUGUUCAUAAAGGGGUAGUUGACGCCCAUAGAGAAGUUGAGAAAAGGGAGAUUAAGAUACCUUGGGCAUGUGCAUUGUAGAGCAGCAAAAUGCAUAAAUAUUGAAAGUUGAGAAUAUUGAAGUUGUAGGAGAAAGGAAACUGUGAAACCGACCUAGGAUGCAUGGCAUGGGGAAAGUAAUGAAAAAAGAUUUUACAACUGUAAGUCUUUCUGAAAAUGUAGCUUUGAACUGGGUGAAAUGAAAGGAUCUAUAUAGCUAACCAUGACUUGUUUGAAACUAAAUAUUUGUCAAUUCAUCAGGGUGAUUUGAUUGAGUUAAAAAGCUAGUUCACCUUACUUAUGGUGUGCAGGUAUGGUAUUUUGACUGUCAUCAACCAGCUAGUUUAAAAAGGAUUAUACAGGUCAGAUAAAAAAAAAAAAAAAAAAAAUAAAACUUUAUGUAACACCCUAGGCAAAUCCCCNNNNNNNNNACAUCGACAAAACACGGGAGAGAUGCUGGGUUUAUAAGUUGGUGGUUCGUAACUCUUAGUGACGCGUUUUAAAACCGUGAGGGCUUUGGCCCAGAGCGGACAAUAUCACUAGUGGGCCGGGCCAUUACAUUUGUGGUAUCAGAGCCGCUCCGCGUG